rnacentral:lncRNA from 1 species
UUUCACAAAUAUAUAUCACAAAUGCACGUGCACACACCCACACUACACAAAGUAGCUUGAGAGCAGAAAAUCUCCCUGUGCAAUAUCAGAGAGAAAUAGGUCUACAGACAAGAGACCCUUUCAUGAAAAAUUCUAGAUAUACCACUUGGUAUAUUCUGUAACACCGAGCAUCAGAUCAAAAUUUCCAUCACUCUUUUGGCCUCCAGUUUUCGGCCAUGGAGGCAGACAUUUUGCCGCCUCUAUUUUAAAUUAGACGUUGACGUCAUCUCCCGGCCUGAACAUGGGUCAUGGUGGAUGGCCAAGUUCACAGGGUUGUUUUCUCCAACUUCAGCUUUCCUCUAAUCUGUGCUCUCCUGACAGUUUUCACUCAUUCCUUCACAGACCGCCUACCACCCACCCACUUUUUUUUUUUUUCUUCAAUACAUGGAAAUGAAUCAGGUCUGUGAUGGCGUCAUUCAAAAGAGAAAGCUAAUUUAAAAGGUCCUCUUUCCUUCCUGUUAGAGACCUCGCAAUAGUUUCCUCUUUUUGGAGACACAAGCCAGGAAGGAAGCUUUUCAGUGCAGCUGUGAAUAGAGACGCCUGACUUAGGUUUGGAGGGAACUGGGUGAUGUUUCCCAGUUAAACAGUGAGUUCCCUGAGGAUGUUUUCAGCCCCUUUGUCUUUUCCAGGGUCAGGAUAAACAGAAGAACCUCAGGCUACUCUAAGCAGAAGGAAUGUAUGAUAAUGUGACCAAGCACUGACUGCAGGUUAUCAAGUGGCUCCAGCCAGAACAAUAGAAGACGCCAUGGAGUGAUGCUUUUGGGGAACUCAAAAAUGAAGCGUUGCGGAACUCAUCCUCCAAAACGAAAGAGGAUGUUCAAGAUGAGGGCUGUUUGCUUCUCAUCUAUGUUACUGAUAGCCACUCUGCAAAGAAGUAUCGUGAACCAGAGUGACUCUGAAACUCCAAUGUAAAGGUCAUCAGAUUCUUUUGGGGUGAGUAGCUGCACUUUUGGCCUCCAGAGGCCCCCGAGGGGUAAAGAGUAUGCUCUUUCAUAAUUCCAUGCCAUAUGCUAUUCCUUUGCCUGAAUUUUGUGCUUUCUUCCUCUCCACG